AAGUCGUAACAAGGUCUCCGUAGGUGAACCUGCGGAGGGAUCAUCAAAGGAUAUAAUCUUAAGAAAAAAGUGUGUUGCUCUUUUUCUACUAGAAGAAGAGUGCAGCACUCUUUUUUCUAUCAAACAAACGAUCACAACUAUUGAAACAAAUGUUGAGGGGGGAGAGAUUUGACUUGGAAAUAAGAAGUGUUUGCCUGAUAAUCUAAUGUUUUGGUUGAUUGAAAACAAGAGAGAGAAAUACAACUUUCAACAACGGAUCUCUUGGCUCUCA
rnacentral:misc_RNA from 1 species